rnacentral:rRNA from 1 species
AGCGCAGGCGGACCGGCAAGUUGGAAGUGAAAACUAUGGGCUCAACCCAUAAAUUGCUUUCAAAACUGCUGGCCUUGAGUAGUGCAGAGGUAGGUGGAAUUCCCGGUGUAGCGGUGGAAUGCGUAGAUAUCGGGAGGAACACCAGUGGCGAAGGCGGCUUUCUGGACGACAACUGACGCUGAGGCGCGAAAGUGUGGGGAGCAAACA